CCUACGGGAGGCAGCAGUAGGGAAUAUUGGGCAAUGGACGAAAGUCUGACCCAGCCACGCCGCGUGCAGGAAGAAGGCCCUCUGGGUUGUAAACUGCUUUUGACUGGGAAGAAAAGACUCCUUGCGAGGAGAGUUGACGGUACCAGUGGAACAAGCCACGGCUAACUACGUGCCAGCAGCCGCGGUAAUACGUAGGUGGCGAGCGUUAUCCGGAUUUAUUGGGUUUAAAGGGUGCGUAGGCGGCUGAUUAAGUCAGCGGUGAAAGGUAGUAGCUUAACUGUUUUACAUGCCGUUGAUACUGGUUAGCUUGAGUUAACAGAAGGCAGAUAGAAUUUCUGGUGUAGCGGUGAAAUGCUUAGAUACCAGGAGGAAUACCGAUUGCGAAGGCAGUCUGCUGCAGUUACACUGACGCUGAGGCACGAAAGUGCGGGGAUCAAACAGGAUUAGAUACCCUGGUAGUCCGCACAGUAAACGAUGAUUACUAGUUGUUGGCGCAAGUCAGUGACCAAGGGAAACCGAUAAGUAAUCCACCUGGGGAGUACGCCGGCAACGGUGAAACUCAAAGGAAUUGACGG
rnacentral:rRNA from 1 species